UACGAAGGGUGCAAGCGUUAAUCGGAAUUACCGGGCGUAAAGGGUGCGUAGGCGGUUGUUUAAGUCUGUCGUGAAAUCCCCGGGCUCAACCUGGGAAUGGCGAUGGAUACUGGACAGCUAGAGUGUGUCAGAGGGGGGUAGAAUUCCACGUGUAGCAGUGAAAUGCGUAGAGAUGUGGAGGAAUACCGAUGGCGAAGGCAGCCCCCUGGGAUAACACUGACGCUCAUGCACGAAAGCGUGGGGAGCAAACAGG
rnacentral:rRNA from 1 species